AUCCCAAAUAAACCCAUUGUUUAUUUGAUUCAUGGGAGGCAUAUAUUGAUGUUGGGAGUUUGCUGAUAGCACCUUUCUUUUUUCCAGGGGAUGUUUCAGUAGUACCUCACCAUACACUU
ncrna:Nicotiana tabacum cultivar TN90 Ntab-TN90_scaffold247, whole genome shotgun sequence